AUUGAACGCUGGCGGCAUGCUUUACACAUGCAAGUCGAACGGUAACAGGCCGAAAGGUGCUGACGAGUGGCGAACGGGUGAGUAAUGCAUCGGAACGUGCCCAGUCGUGGGGGAUAACGCAGCGAAAGCUGCGCUAAUACCGCAUACGAUCUAUGGAUGAAAGCGGGGGACCGUAAGGCCUCGCGCGAUUGGAGCGGCCGAUGUCAGAUUAGGUAGUUGGUGGGGUAAAGGCUCACCAAGCCAACGAUCUGUAGCUGGUCUGAGAGGACUACCAGCCAAACUGGGACUGGGACACGGCCCAGACUCCUACGGGAGACAGAAGUGGGGAAUUUUGGACAAUGGGCGCAAGCCUGUUCCAGCAAUGCCGCGUGCAGGAAGAAGGCCUUCGGGUUGUAAACUGCUUUUGUACGGAACGAAACGGUCUGGGUUAAUACCCUGGGCUAAUGACGGUACCGUAAGAAUAAGCACCGGCUAACUACGUGCCAGCCGCCGCCGUAAUAC
rnacentral:rRNA from 1 species